rnacentral:rRNA from 1 species
UGAGCAAUCUGCCCUUCUCAUCGGAAUAAGCGUUGGAAACGACGUCUAAUGCCGAAUACGACCUCCUUUCGCAUGAUCGGAGGUGGAAAGCUCCGGCGGAGAAGGAUGAGCUCGCGGCCUAUCAGCUAGUUGGUGUGGGUAAUGGCCCACCAAGGCGACGAUCCGUAGCUGGUCUGAGAGGAUGGCCAGCCACAUUGGGACUGAGACACGGCCCAGACUCCG